rnacentral:rRNA from 1 species
AUUGAACGCUGGCGGCAUGCCUUACACAUGCAAGUCGAACGGCAGCACGGGUGCUUGCACCUGGUGGCGAGUGGCGAACGGGUGAGUAAUAUAUCGGAACGUACCUUAUCGUGGGGGAUAACGCAGCGAAAGCUGCGCUAAUACCGCAUACGCCCUGAGGGGGAAAGCGGGGGACCGUAAGGCCUCGCGCGAUUAGAGCGGCCGAUAUCUGAUUAGCUUGUUGGUGGGGUAAAAGCCCACCAAGGCGACGAUCAGUAGCUGGUCUGAGAGGACGAUCAGCCACACUGGGACUGAGACACGGCCCAGACUCCUACGGGAGGCAGCAGUGGGGAAUUUUGGACAAUGGGGGCAACCCUGAUCCAGCAAUGCCGCGUGAGUGAAGAAGGCCUUCGGGUUGUAAAGCUCUUUUGUCAGGGAAGAAACAGCAGCUCUAACACAGUCUGCGAAUGACGGUACCUGAA